rnacentral:sRNA from 1 species
AAGAACCACGCGUACACCGUGGUUCUUGUGCGCCGUCCGCACGCACCCGACGACUGCGCGCGAGGUUUUGGUCGCC